GUUAUUUUAUAAUAGAAAAAAAACAUAUAUAUAUUUAGGCCUGUGAUUUAGGACACAGACGUGGAUAACAAUUGUAUAAUAUGUCUCUAUGGCAAAAAGUACAAAAUUUGAUAGUACAAAAGUCACAUAUACUAUUUGUUAAGUUUUGUUUGAAAACAUAGGAAAAAGUUUCUACAUUUAUUUUUUUAUUUUAUUUUUUUUGGGGGGGGGGAUACUUGUAUUUAUUCGGUAUAACAUGUUAUUCAGGUCUCAGACAGGGUAUAUACUGUGAUAUUCCCUGUCUGAGACCUGAAUUACACAUAUAUAACGGAUUUCCCCUGACUAAUGUUAUUUUCCAGUGUAGGUAUUUUUUGAGCAUUCACAAUACAGCAUGUAUAUUUAUUCCAUAUUGAUUGUCUCUUUAAUAUUUUUAGUAAUUCAAUUAAAUGCACAAUUUUUUUCCCCGUUUAAAAAUGUAUUAUUGACUGAAGCACAUCAUUAUUUUCCCUCUGUGAGCCUCUGACAUUCCUUAGUGGUCUGUAUAGCUUUUGACUACGUCACAUAGUAACCGGUGUUAUGAUGACGUUUUUGGGGUUCCAUUUGGGGAUAAAAACGUCGUACAUACACCGGGAGUUUCCUGAAUAUAUACUGACAUAUUUGUGUUAUUAUCCAAUCACAAACCUCGACACAUUUGUUAUCCGUAAUAUAUUUUAUUCAAAACCUUGAGUAAUGAAUAGAUGUCAAAUUUUAUGCAUGAAAAGUAUAAAUGUUUUUACACUAUGUCAUAAUGAUAGUACCA
rnacentral:lncRNA from 1 species